UCACUUACCUGGACGGGGUCGACGGGCGAUCAACAAGGCCCGUGGCCUGGGUCAAUGGCCCACAUUGCACUUGGUGGGUGCGUUGGCCCAUCAUCUCCCCAAGUGGGAGAGUGAACGUCGUAAUUUGUGGGACGUUCACUCUCCCACUUGGGGAGAUGAUG
rnacentral:snRNA from 16 species